rnacentral:tRNA from 1 species
GGAGUUGUGGCUCAGUGGUAGAGCGCUCGUCUUGCGGGUGUAAUGCUCUGGGUUCGAUCCUCAGCACCA